UCUUUUUCCACCGGAGCUUGCUCCACCGGAAAAAGANGAGUGGCGAACGGGUGAGUAACACGUGGGUAACCUGCCCAUCAGAAGGGGAUAACACUUGGAAACAGGUGCUAAUACCGUAUAACAAUCGAAACCGCAUGGUUUUGAUUUGAAAGGCGCUUUCGGGUGUCGCUGAUGGAUGGACCCGCGGUGCAUUAGCUAGUUGGUGAGGUAACGGCUCACCAAGGCCACGAUGCAUAGCCGACCUGAGAGGGUGAUCGGCCACAUUGGGACUGAGACACGGCCCAAACUCCUACGGGAGGCAGCAGUAGGGAAUCUUCGGCAAUGGACGAAAGUCUGACCGAGCAACGCCGCGUGAGUGAAGAAGGUUUUCGGAUCGUAAAACUCUGUUGUUAGAGAAGAACAAGGAUGAGAGUAACUGUUCAUCCCUUGACGGUAUCUAACCAGAAAGCCACGGCUAACUACGUGCCAGCAGCCGCGGUAAUACGUAGGUGGCAAGCGUUGUCCGGAUUUAUUGGGCGUAAAGCGAGCGCAGGCGGUUUCUUAAGUCUGAUGUGAAAGCCCCCGGCUCAACCGGGGAGGGUCAUUGGAAACUGGGAGACUUGAGUGCAGAAGAGGAGAGUGGAAUUCCAUGUGUAGCGGUGAAAUGCGUAGAUAUAUGGAGGAACACCAGUGGCGAAGGCGGCUCUCUGGUCUGUAACUGACGCUGAGGCUCGAAAGCGUGGGGAGCAAACAGGAUUAGAUACCCUGGUAGUCCACGCCGUAAACGAUGAGUGCUAAGUGUUGGAGGGUUUCCGCCCUUCAGUGCUGCAGCUAACGCAUUAAGCACUCCGCCUGGGG
rnacentral:rRNA from 1 species